ACCUAAGAUCAAGUAAGAGGACCCGCUGGAUUUAAGCAUAUAACUAAGCGGAGGAAAAGAAACUAACAAGGAUUCCCCUAGUAACGGCGAGUGAAGCGGGAAAAGCUCAAAUUGAAAAUCGGCAUGACGUGAAUGCGUUUGUCGAGUUGUAGUCUAAAGAUGCGUGACCCGGAUGAGCGUCGUGGAGAAUUCGGUUGGAAGACCGGGUCACAGAGGGUGACAACCCCGUAUGUGCCACGUCAUGGUAUUUCUCGUCCAACGGGUGCGCUUUUCGAAGAGUCGGGUUGCUUGGGAUUGCAGCUCAAAGUGGGUGGUAAAUUCCAUCUAAAGCUAAAUAUGGGCAAUAGACCGAUAGCGAAAAAGUACCGUGAGGGAAAGAUGAAAAGAACUUUGAAAAGAGAGUGAAAGAGUGCUUGAAAUCGCUAAAAGGGAACCCGUUAGUACCAGUGUGGCAUGUGGGGAUAUUGUGUCUUGUUAUAACAACUUGGCUCGUGUCCUUUCACAUUUUUUUGCCAGUCAACAUGGGUUACUUCCGUAGGAGAUUGCUUGUAGGGAGGUAGUCUGGUCUUGUGUCUUUUCACUUGGUGCCGGAUGUUAUAACCUAUCAGUGCAUGCUAUGGAGGUGACUGAGGAACGAACAGCGAUCAUUCCCUGAUCUGUCCGAUCGUAAGCUCACGCGGCGCACAGCAUGCUUUGCGACGUUGUGGUAUUGUCGAGCGAUUUCGUUGGCAGGAGGGGAGCGUUUUUGUUAAGAUGUUGACAAAAUGGUCCUAACCGACCCGUCUGGAAACACGGACCAAGGAGUCUAACAUAUGUGCGAGU
rnacentral:rRNA from 1 species